rnacentral:rRNA from 1 species
GCUUGCUCGAUCCUUAGUGGCGGACGGCUGAGUAACGCGUAGGUGACCUGCCCCGAAGUGGGGAAUAACUGCCCGAAAGGGUGGCUAAUACCGCAUGUGGUCGCACGUUCAUUCGUGCGAGUAAAGCCGCAAGGCGCUUCGGGAGGGGCCUGCGUCCGAUUAGCUCGUUGGUGGGGUAAUGGCUUACCAAGGCGACGAUCGGUAGGUGGUCUGAGAGGACGAUCACCCAGACUGGGACUGAGACACGGCCCAGACUCCUACGGGAGGCAGCAGUCGGGAAUUUUGCUCAAUGGGGGAAACCCUGAAGCAGCAACGCCGCGUGAGGGAUGAAGGCCUUCGGGUUGUAAACCCUCUUUUGUCAGGGACGAUGAUGACGGUACCUGGCGAAUAAGCCACGGCUAACUACCGUGCCAGCAGCCGCGGUAAUACGUAGGUGGCAAGCGUUGUCCGGAUUUACUGGGCGUAAAGAGCGCGCAGGCGGUUUUGUAAGUCGAGUGUGAAAGCCCCCUGGCUCAACCAGGGAGGGUCAUUCGAUACUGCUUGACUCGAAGGCAGGAGAGGGAAGUGGAAUUCCGGGUGUAGUGGUGAAAUGCGUAGAUAUCCGGAGGAACACCAGUGGCGAAGGCGACUUUCUGGCCUGUUCUUGACGCUGAGGCGCGAAAGCUAGGGGAGCAAACGGGAUUAGAUACCCCGGUAGUCCUAGCCGUAAACGAUGGAUACUAGGUGUUGG